rnacentral:snRNA from 1 species
UCCCAUUUUUCAAAGUUGGCAA